GUAUAUGGCAUUGUGAAAAUUUGAAUAGGUCACUCUUGAGUUUGUCUGAGAAUUGGUGAGAUUCUUCUUUUUCUAACACUGAUUCCCCUACUCAUGUGUACCUUUUUCUCCUAGGAAAUCAACUGAGUUGAAGUUGCAAACCAGCAGUUGCAGUAUUUUGCAAAUCAUAUCACUGAGGUUUGUUUUCCCUGGGAAGAGUCUAGAGUGCUGCUACAACCCUUCUGCUGGUGUUCACCUAAAGCUUGAAACCCAAAGCUUGACUUGCCCAGCAGAGAAGUUUGAGUCGAGGUGCUGGGGAAGUAGACAUGUCGGCUUUCUCUGAAAAGCAGAGAGGAAGACCCCUGCACUGGAGAAAAUGGCAGAAUGAAGAGAAUUUAUUUUUAAAUGCUUGGAUAUGAGGCACAGGAGGUCUGGGCAUCUCAAGAAAGAAAAAGCUGGAGAGAUCUGGAUUUGCCCACCCAUAAGGCUGUCGCUUUGAAAAGAAAUAUAAAAUAUGAUCGUUAAUCAACAACAGCACUGCAUCUUCUGAGGCUUCGGUGAAGUUCAGCAAACUAGAAAUUGCUUAAGAAUAUCUUCUGUUAAAAUUGAGUCAUUCUGUUGGAAAUAAACAUUUUUGGCAUAUCCAA